UAGGGAAUCUUCGGCAAUGGACGAAAGUCUGACCGAGCAACGCUGCGUGAGUGAAGAAGGUUUUCGGAUCGUAAAACUCUGUUGGUAGAGAAGAGCGUUGGUGAGAGUGGAAAGCUCAUCAAGUGACGGUAACUACCCAGAAAGGGACGGCUAACUACGUGUCAG
rnacentral:rRNA from 1 species